UACAGAGGUCUCAAGCGUUUGUUCGGAUUCAUUGGGCGUAAAGGGUGCGUAGGCGGCGCGGUAAGUCGGGUGUGAAAUCUCGGAGCUUAACUCCGAAAUUGCAUUCGAUACUGCCGUGCUCGAGGACUGGAGAGGAGACUGGAAUUCAUGGUGUAGCAGUGAAAUGCGUAGAGAUCAUGAGGAAGACCAGUGGCGAAGGCGGGUCUCUGGACAGUUCCUGACACUGAGGCACGAAGGCCAGGGGAGCAAACGGG
rnacentral:rRNA from 1 species